CUCAGGACGAACGCUGGCGGCGUGCCUAAUACAUGCAAGUCGAGCGGACCGGGCGGAAGCUUGCUUCCGCUUGGUUAGCGGCGGACGGGUGAGUAACACGUGGGUAACCUGCCCGUAAGACCGGGAUAACUCCGGGAAACCGGAGCUAAUACCGGAUAACACCGAAGACCGCAUGGUCUUUGGUUGAAAGGCGGCUUCGGCUGCCACUUACGGAUGGGCCCGCGGCGCAUUAGCUAGUUGGUGAGGUAACGGCUCACCAAGGCGACGAUGCGUAGCCGGCCUGAGAGGGUGCCCGGCCACACUGGGACUGAGACACGGCCCAGACUCCUACGGGAGGCAGCAGUAGGGAAUCUUCCGCAAUGGACGAAAGUCUGACGGAGCGACGCCGCGUGAGCUAA
rnacentral:rRNA from 1 species